rnacentral:rRNA from 1 species
UACAGAGAGUGCAAGCGUUAAUCGGAAUUAUUGGGCGUAAAGCGCGCGUAGGUGGAAUUUUAAGUCAGAUGUGAAAUCCCCGAGCUUAACUUGGGAAUUGCAUUUGAUACUGGGAUUCUAGAGUAUGGUAGAGGGAAGUGGAAUUUCCGGUGUAGCGGUGAAAUGCGUAGAUAUCGGAAAGAACACCAGUGGCGAAAGCGGCUUCCUGGACCAAUACUGACACUUAGGCGCGAAAGCGUGGGGAGCAAACAG